GACACCCACAGCGCCAUCUACGCAACUCAUCAUGAGAACUGGCGGCCAUAUACCUUCUCCCUGCUACAAUUUCUUCGCUCAACGUCUUAACGCUCGAGACCAACAACCAAUCAGGAACGUUCCUCGUCCGCGAUUAAUUUUGCGCACCAAUCCGCGGGUGCUAGCAUUGUAUAAUUUAAAACAAACGAAAAUUUACUAUUUACUAUUGUCACUCUUCAUUUCUAUCCACUGGAUUACACACCAAUUCUGAAAAUCAAGGAGUUUCUUUUCAAAAAUCCUGCAGUGCCAAGGCUAUUCUGGUACAUUUGGUCCUUCUCAGCCGAAUACAAGCGAGCGACCUAUCCGAGCUGCAUAUUCACCGGAAAACGCAAGAUAUCACAAUAUCAACCGGCGAAGCUAUCUUCAAGUCACGUCUACGUAUUGGACACCAGGACUUCAGGAGAUGCAAAAUCGGUACGGCCAGCCAUCCGCAAUAUCCAAAAACCCUUGGUUUUCACUUGUGUAAUACUGUGCAUUUGCUAAUUUCAGUACUUACCUACCUACGUACGCGCAUCAAGUGUGUCGAGUGUUCAACAGCAGAGUGUCGUUGCUAAUACCUGCUGCUUUCGCAGAUCACUACGAACACUAAAACUGCAACGCGCACCUAAAUUUCGAAGAGCUAUGCACAUUAUUAACGCAGGUGGAAGCUGUCCUUAACUCCCGUCCACUGAGUCCCCUAUCCACAGAUCCGCACGAUCUUCAGCCUCUCUCUCCUGCUCACUUCCUGGUUGGUCGUCCGCUCGUUGCACCUGUAAGCGCCGACAUGCAAGAUACGCCGAUGCAUCGACUUACUCGAUAUCAACGUGUUGAACAACUGCGCCAGCAUUUUUGGUCACGUUGGACCAAAGAGUACAUCUCGGAGAUGCAGACGAGGAUCAAGUGGAAGGAGAACACGAUCGACUUGCGACCAGACACGCUGGUGAUUGUCAAGGAUGACAACUUGCCUCCACUGAAAUGGCAACUGGGACGCGUUAAGAACACGAUUCAUGGAAAGGAUGGCAUCGUGAGAGUUGCUGACAUCCAAACAACAUCCGGAGUCAUCAGGCGCGCUGUAACCAAGAUCUGUCCUUUACUAUGGGAUCAGCCAGAGAUGGAUCCUGCUAGUCUUUCGUAAGCUGGUGCUUCCAAGGCCGGGGGCAUGUUUGGACACCCACAGCGCCAUCUACGCAACUCAUCAUGAGAACUGGCGGCCAUAUACCUUCUCCCUGCUACAAUUUCUUCGCUCAACGUCUUAACGCUCGAGACCAACAACCAAUCAGGAACGUUCCUCGUCCGCGAUUAAUUUUGCGCACCAAUCCGCGGGUGCUAGCAUUGUAUAAUUUAAAACAAACGAAAAUUUACUAUUUACUAUUGUCACUCUUCAUUUCUAUCCACUGGAUUACACACCAAUUCUGAAAA